rnacentral:rRNA from 1 species
AGCAGCCGCGGUAAUUCCAGCUCCAAUAGCGUAUAUUAAAGUUGCUGCAGUUAAAAAGCUCGUAGUUGAAUUUCGGGACUAAUAUGUCGGUCGUGCCUCGGUACGUACUGGUAUUUUUGGUUUCUCCCUUCUGACGAACCUUGAUGUCAUUAAUUUGGUGUCUUGGGAAAUCAGGACUGUUACUUUGAAAAAAUUAGAGUGUUUAAAGCAGGCUCACGCUUGAAUACAUUAGCAUGGAAUAAUGAAAUAGGACGUUUGAUUCUAUUUUGUUGGUUUCUAGGAUCGACGUAAUGAUUAAUAGGGAUAGUUGGGGGCAUUAGUGUUCAAUUGUCAGAGGUGAAAUUCUUGGAUUUAUUGAAGACUAACUACUGCGAAAGCAUUUGCCAAGGAUGUUUUCAUUAAUCAAGAACGAAAGUUAGGGGAUCGAAGACGAUCAGAUACCGUCGUAGU